rfam:Tropicibacter multivorans strain CECT 7557 genome assembly, contig: 0037
CCGUGGGACACCUCUCCCCAACGAGAGGCGCGUAUCUGAAAGGGUAGCAGUA